rnacentral:rRNA from 1 species
AUGCCGCAGAAGAGGCUCCGCCGCCGCCGCAGGAGGUCUCCUCGCCGGCGCCGUGGUGAAGAAGGCGCAUCUUUAUCUGCCCCCCUUGUCGAAUCGGAUAGCAGCAGCAGCACGACUUUCUGCACACGGGCGCCCGAACCCCUCGACGAGCAGCCGGACGCCCGGCCGGCUCGCGAGUACGAGUCGAGGUACCAUGAGAUCCUCACCUCGCGCCUCGCCGAAUUGCAGUUACCAGCCUGCCCGGCCCUGGACGACGGCGACAGCCCAGAUCUUCCUUCGGAUGAAAUUGUGGAAGCCCUGACCCGUACUAGUUUCUAUGAUGAUGAGCUGCGGGCUGCUAUGGUAGAAUACCAAAUCCAGAAAUUCCUGGUCGAACCCCACGGACCAGAUGUCCAGGCAGUAGAUGGAGAUUCUGGAGAGGACUCCGGCGUUGGCAUCACCGAUGAGCAAUUCGUCAAAUACUCCGAAGAGCUGAAGGCUCGCAGCAGUGCUGAAAUUGACGCUGACACUAGACUGAAUCAAGAGCAGUUCAACAGACUCCAUGUCAAGUUAAUUCGUUAUCGCAUCAAAGCUUGCCUGCUGUUGAAACGAAAGCAUAUCGACGAGCUAGACGACACUUCAUUGGAACGCAAGUACCCUAUUGAGCUUGCCUUGGGGGAUAAAGACUUAUCCCCUUACCUGGAAGAUGGUGCCUUUGGCUGGUAUUUCGACUCCGACCUCUGCUUACUUGCAUCCUUGAGCGAUUACCAGCGGCUUGUCCUUCCUAACUGUACUUGGAGUGAGUAUGAAAGCUUGAGUCAAUACAUAGCGUUUUAUAACACCCCUGAAGUUGAUAGAGAUUAUGUCCUAUACUGGGAAAACAUGGUCAAGGAAAUUAAGUGGCUUGAAAAUCAUAUUCUUAAAGAAGAUACUCCGGAGUGGGAUCAAAUCUGUCACAAAGGUUUAUACCAAGCAAUUAGGAUUGCUGCUGAGCUCCCCAACAUUAAUUUCGGUCUAGCAUAUCAUGGUUUCAUGGAGUAUAUAUGGAGAACUCGCUUUUAUGUCGUGUUUGUGAAAGGUCUUGACCGUGCCUACUUUGAGAUUUGGAAGCGGGUUACUGGGCAGCAGAUGUGUUUCAGAGAUGCUCUGCAGGAAGUUUGCAAUGACAAUUUGGUACCAUCGCGCCAACACACUUUGAAGGCCGAGCUGCAGCGACCUGGAGGGUUCUUGCAAGUGGAGCGACAAGUCCGCCGGUGCACAGAGGGCAUUAGUAAGGAAAUUCCGGAUUGGAUAGCCCAAGAGCGGGUUUCUCAGGAAGUUAGAUUCAAGCGCGCGUUGCCAAAGACAUAUGCGCAGUAUGCGAGGAAGAAGCUCAAGGUUGCAGAAGCCAUAGGAUUGAUUCCCAAGGUCAGAGCAUAA